UAUUGUGCUGUCGCUCUGGUAGCUGCUCAAGUAAAUUUUACUGGUUUAUUUUACCAGGAAGACUCUGUAUGUUUCAGUAACAAUUUUAUCAUUUUUUGCUCACCAACAAUCGCUUUUUGAGGCAAUACAUGUGUUAUUAAAUGCAGUAUCAACUACUCGUUUCAAGCUAAAUUUACAAAUAUGUAGUGCAGUGAAAAAAGAUGGCGAGCUCCGCUGUGAUACUCUGGCCUAACUCCGCGACGUCAUCGCCCUUGAUGACUCAACCGUAAAAAUGUAGUGAUAUUUUGAUGAUUGCUGGCCUCUACUACAUUUUGACAACAACAGCUAGUUUCUUCAAGAAGUGUAUACAAACCAUAUUUGUGAAUGGUCCGUGCAUGGAGAAUUUCAACAGAUGUUAGAGAAGUUGAGAUACAUGCAGCUCUGUGUCACGACCUAGUUAGUCCCUAAGGUUCUCACGCGGUCCUUUUUCCGCUGGCGCCCUGCACUACUGGUUCACCAUGCCUGAGCUAACCAGUGAGGAGAUGACGUCGCAUCUCUAUGACCGCUUCGCUCAAGCUGGAACCUUCCAGUCUUGCAUGGCCUCUUUCCGUCAGCUGUGUGAGCAUCUAGGACUUGACCCCAGACAUCAAAAGAAUUUCUACCAACAGUUCAAGUCCAAGGUGACCACUUGGCAGGCAAAAUCACUAUGGGCCAAGCUGGACAAACGGUUCAAUCGGAAGGAGUACAAAAAGGGGAAGGCAUGCUCGGAUACAAGGGUCCUGGUCAUCGGCGCCGGUCCUUGCGGCCUGCGCACCGCCAUUGAGUGCGCUAUGCUGGGCGCCAAAUGCAUCGUCAUUGAGAAGAGAGAUAGCUUCUCCCGUAACAAUGUCCUCCACCUCUGGCCGUUCCUCAUCACCGACCUCAAGAAUCUCGGUGCCAAGAAAUUCUUUGGCAAGUUCUGUGCUGGCGCCAUCGAUCACAUCAGCAUCAGGCAGCUGCAACUGAUUCUCCUGAAGGUCACUCUGCUUCUAGGGGUCGAAGUUCACACCAACGUGACCUUUGAGGCACUGCAGGAGCCUCCCGAAGAUCAAGACCAAGAAAGUGUGGGUUGGCGGGCCAAGCUGAACCCCAUGGACCACCCUCUCUCUGAGUUUGAGUUCGACGUCAUCAUCGGAGCCGAUGGGAAACGGAACACGCUACAAGGAUUUAAGCGUAAAGAGUUCCGGGGCAAGCUGGCCAUCGCCAUCACGGCCAACUUCAUCAACCGCCACACCACGGAGGAGGCACGGGUGGAGGAGAUCAGCGGCGUGGCCUUCAUCUUCAACCAGAAGUUCUUCCAGGACCUGAAGGCCGCCACCCGCAUCGACCUGGAGAACAUCGUCUAUUACAAGGACGACACCCACUACUUUGUCAUGACAGCCAAGAAGCAGAGCCUGAUUGAGAAGGGCGUCAUCCUGCAGGAUCACGCCGACACUGCCCGACUGCUUUCUCGCGAGAACUACAGCCACGAGAAGUUGCAGGCGUAUGCCCGGGAGGCAGCCGACUUCUCCACCAACCACCAGCUGCCCAGGCUGGACUACGCCCUCAACCACUACGGCCAGCCCGACGUGGCCAUGUUCGACUUCACCUCCAUCUUUCAGGCUGAGCACGCCUCCCGUGUAAUGGAGCGCAAGGGUCACAGACUACUGAUGGCGCUUGUCGGUGACAGUUUGCUUGAGCCUUUCUGGCCAACAGGUUCAGGCUGCGCUCGGGGCUUCCUCGGUGCCUUUGACGCGGCCUGGAUGGUGCGAAACUGGUCCUCCAGCCAGAUGUCCCCGCCAGAGGUCAUCUCCGAGCGGGAGAGCAUCUACCGCCUCCUGCCUCAGACCACUCCCGAGAACCUGAGCAAGGUUUACGAGCAGUACGGCCUGACGCCCACCACGCGCUACCCCCACGUCAACCUGAAGGCGGCUGCCCCGCACGAGGUGUUGCACCUGUACGACACGGACAACGAGGACCUGAAGAGGAAGUGGGAGAAGGUGGUGAAGAUGGAGAAGCAGAUGCUGAACCGAACAGGGUCUAUAGUGCGCGGUAGUAAGCUACUGAUGUGGUGCCAACGCGUGACGGACACCUACAAGAACGUGCACAUAGACAAUAUGACAACAUCCUGGCGUAACGGCUUGGCCUUGUGUGCAAUCAUUCAUCGCUACAGGCCACACCUAAUAGAUUUUAAUUCCUUACGUGAGGAAGACAUCGUGCGCAACAACCAGCUGGCAUUUGAUUUGGCUGAGCGAGAGUUUGGAAUCAGUCCGACAAUGACGGGCGAAGAGAUUGCGGCAAUGGAGGCUCCAGACAAACUGACCAUGGUGGUCUACAUCUCGCGAUUCUACGACCUCUUUAAGGAUGAGCUGCCUCCUCCUUUGAAACCCAGCUUGGCCAAGAUUGAGGAGGUGCCCACCCACGUCAAAUCGCCGGUUGCCAAGUCCUCCUUCCUCUCCAGAAUCUCCUCCAAGAUGCGCCACAAGAAGUCCCACCAUGGCAACAAGGAGAAUGUGGAGGCAUUGAGUCCCGUCGCAGCCAAGAGACCUAAGAUCAAGGAAUCUCCGGAGGAGGCCCUCAAGAAAGUCCGAGCAGCCAACCUAGAGGCCCGCAUGAAGGAGCGAAUCAUGGAGCAAACCAACGCCAGGAAAGCCAAGCCGGUCAUCGAUGCCUCCGAACUCCCCGCCGGUACUAAUCGCGUCAGUGGAUUGGCAGAGCAACUGACGGCCCAGUUCCGCACUCUGGCCGGCCUGACUGUGACUGAUGAUAACAGGCCUGUCAACAGACCAAAAUCAAAGCCUUUUGAACCGAGCAAGACACAGAACAGCGACGUGUGCUUCUUCUGCGACAAGCGUGUGUAUGUCAUGGAGCGACUGAGCGUGGAGGGCCUCUUCUUCCAUCGCGACUGCUUCCGCUGUCAACACUGCGAGACGACACUGCAUGUGGGCAAUUACGUGUUCUCAAAGGAUGCGGACGGCAAAUCCAAGGGCAAGUUCUUCUGCCGAAUCCAUUACCUUGCUACGCUGGGUAAAGGCCAGCCAACACCCAACAGAAAACGACAGCUGGUCGAAGAGCCUUCAUCACCCAAGACACCUGUCAUCACCACUAUUCCCGAGGACAGUGAGGUACCCCCCAGCAUCCCUUCACUCACAGACAACAACCUGCUGUUGGAACCCAGCCAGAAGAGGUACCGAGCCACCCCCGAGCGCAUCGAGCUUGAAAACAUGCGGGCAUCCAUAGCGGCCGGCACGGUGGAAGUGACAGAGGAGGAAAUAGCCAAGUACAACCUGGGCACUUCCUUGCAGACUUCUGGGGAGGAGGAUGAGGAAGACGAAUCCUCCGAGAGUGAUUCAGAGCUACGGGAGGAAAGGUCUGGGUCUGUCAAGACCUUAGAAGAUGAAGACGAAGAUGAAGAUGACACAUAUGAGUAUGGUUCUGAUUUUGAAUCUGAUGACGAAGAUGACAGUGAUGAAGAAAGUGAAGAAGACAGUGAUGAGGAAGACAGCGAAGAAGAUGACAGCGAUGACGAGGAAGAAGAUGAGAACGAAGACACUGUAGCACAGAAGGAAGAACCGCGAUACAACCACAUCUCCACCGUCGUCAGUCUCAAGCAGCAGUGGCUGAACGACAUGAAGGCCCCGGCCAUGAAGCCCUGGCGCCCGCCUGAGGAGAUCCUGGCCGAGCAAAAGCGGGCAGAGGAGGCAGCGCGCAAGGCAGAGGAGGCAGCAAGGAAAGCAGAAGAGGAGGAGAGACUUCGGGAAGAAGAGAGGAGGAGAGAGGAAGAGGAAGCGAGACGAGUCCAGGAGGAUCAGGGCACGGGCAUACAGCAGGUCGAGGCAGGGGCUACGACACCGGAAUCCCCCAGGCCUCCCUUGCUGCAAAAGAGCCCCAGCAAGCUCAAGAUGAACCUUGACGCGUUGUCGCAGCAGUAUGCUGAUUUCGAGGAGGAGGCCAAAAUCCCAGUUGUCCCCCAACUGGACCAUGAGGGCUUUGUUGGUCUGACAGACGACGAGAAGGUCGCAUCGAUGCAGGAGAUGGAUAUUGAUGUCGACAAUGGGGAGGAAAAGAAAGACGAUUGGCUGCUGAGCGGCGAGGAGGAGGACAAAGUCAGCUCUGAGGAAUUUGACGAAGAGUACCUGUCGUCGGAUGAAGUCUUUGAGAUGGGAGUCCUGCAGCCUUCUGAGGAUUCUUCAAGAGAGACCAACAAAGCUGCAUUCGAUGACGACGGUGAAAUUAUAAAGAGCCCUGCACCUCAGAAGGAAACAUCAACACCCAGUCCCGUUGUGGAUAGAACUCACAGAAGUAGACAUCAGUACAGAAAUACAGAGGAGAAAGGUGACAUCAUUGCUGAGGGAGACACACAGCCACGAACAGCUUCCAGGAUGUCAGACUCGAGUUUUACAAUCUCCACUCCAAGUGGUUCCUUCUCUUCAGUUUCCAUGAUAAGCACGGACAGUUUACGUCCAGGCGACUUUGUCGACUUGCCUGGGCCAGUGGCGAAGGAGGAGAUUGUGGACCUGGAUUAUACAGUACAGUCGGCCGUAAUCAGCACUCCCCAGACUCCCCUGGCUGACGGGAGCAACCUGGACGUCACUUUGGAAUCGGAUGAGGUCUCCCACAAUACUGUGAUCACAGACGCCGAGAACGUUGGGUUGGAUAUGACAGUGGAAUCAGGAGAAGUGGACUCGCACAAAAGGGAAGUGUCUGUGGACAGUGUUGCUCUGGAUCUCUCUGUCACGUCGGGUUACCAACAAAAUGACAUUACGCCCCAGCUGCCGACAGUAAAAGACCUUGAACUCUCAGACAUUGGAGUUGACAUGGAAUUAGAAACUGAGCCCAACACCUCUACAAAGAAUGAAGAACUUGACGUGGACACUGCACAACCAAUGCAUGUAGGAGAUGCUCUAAAACCCAAUUUAACAUCUACUCCAGACGUUGUGCCAUCUGGUAAGUUACAGGAAAACGGAACAGAUGCCAAGAGUCCACAACCUGCUUCAAAGGAUAAACCCAAAUAUCGCCCCAUGUACAAUAAAAGGGAUAGUGGACCUAGGCUGGUCAUGUCCAGGUCAUUUUCAGACUCUUUCAAAGAGAUCCCAGCUCUGGAUGUUAUUUCAAACGUCUCCAAGGUGGAGGAAAAGAUAGACGAGUUAGCAGACCAGAAUGCAAACACCAGUAACGGCGUGGUCUACCGCAACAAAAAGAAGAUGCUACCAGAACGACCAGAUUCCCCGAGUGGGUACGUGGUCCCCCCGACUGCAAUACGGCCGACAUCGAUAAAAAUGGAUACGCUAUCCCAAAAAAGGGAGAGGACUUACUCGGGUGGCACAGCCCGUGACAGGGUGGUCAAAAAGAAAGAAGGGGACUCGCCAAAGAAAUCACCCAAACGGCAGUUGCCUAAAGUACCGUCCAAGGAUAACGGCCAUGUUGAUGGGAUUACCCCUGAGGAAAGAGAGGUUGGCAAGAGGAUGCUACGAAACAAGACGAAAAGGAAGGAAAACCAAGGAUGGUCCAGCUCAGGAUCCAGCACUCCUGAUAUUAUCAGCCCCAUAGCUGUCGCAGUUCAACCACCUUGGGAAGCAAGCAGCACUCCUGCUGGUCCUACCCCUCUGGCCAACAAGACCAGCAGCAGCAGCGACCAGUUUUUCACCCCGGAAACGGACAACCCGCCCACCUCGGAGUACCUCUCCGUCUCGCCGGGUGAGAGGUCACCGCUCAGCGACCACACACCGUCACAGUUCACCGACGGCAUCCCCCAGUCAGAGUCCAGAUCGGAGGAGAGGAAGUCCCGGCUAAGCAAGCUCCGCGGGGACAUGCGCAGACGAGAUGCCCUGCGGAAGACGAAUUCGCCAAGGUUGGAACGCAAGGCGGCCGGGAAGAAGAGCAAGAAGAAGUCCAAAAAGUCCAAGUCAAUGUCUUCCCUGAGUGAACUGGAGGAUCGCUCUGCAGCAUACCGCGUCGCUGACUCGACAGAGGCCUCUGUGUCUGCCGAGGGUGAACUGGAUACGCCAGGAGCUUCAGCUGGUCCCAGGACAGGUCUAAGAGAAGACUUACCUCAGAUCAAACCAACGACAGCUCAGCUACCCAGAAUGAUCCGGCGGCUGACGGUAGACCCCAGCCUGACGGCGUCCAUCGACCUGGACUUCAGCUCCUCGAGUGAGACGGAGGAGGCGGCCAAGGAGGAGGCCAGGGAGCGGGGCGAGGAGGCCAGCCCCGAGGCCAAGGGCAAAGGCAAGGGCAAAUCGCCCAAGAGAAUGUGGGGCAAGCGAUUCAAGAGGCUCAGACAGGUACUUUCAAAGAAGCCCCCCAAAGUACAUGUACAUGUAGACCAGGUGAUAACUAAGAAGUCCCCCAAAGCGGUCGAGGAACGUCGGAAGAUAGAGGAGGAGGAGCUGAACGAGAAGCUGACACGGCGCGUCCAGCGCGAGGCCCGACGGCAGCACCACCAGCAGAAGUUGAAGCGCCACCGCAUGGCCCAGGAGAUCCAGCGGCAGCUCCAAGAGGUGGAGGUCAAGCAACGGGAGCUGGAGAACCGAGGCGUGGUGGUGGAGAAGGCGCUGCGGGGAGAAGGCAGUAAGCACUGGGGUUGUGGGCCGGGGAGAAGGCAGUAAGCACUGGGGUUGUGGGCUGGGGAGAAGGCAGUAAGCACUGGGGUUGUGGGCCGGGGAGAAGGCAGUAAGCACUGAGGUUGUGGGCCGGGGAGAAGGCAGUAAGCACUGGGGUUGUGGGCCGGGGAGAAGGCAGUAAGCACUGGGGUUGUGGGCCGGGGAGAAGGCAGUAAGCACUGGGGUUGUGGCCCUGUCGCAAAGAAAUCCAGACCAAAGCCUUGGCAAUUAGAAUCAUAGCACCUGAUGGUAAUACAGCCUAGAACAAUAAGUUCAAGAACAGAAAAUAGUACCCGUGUACAAACAUCAGUACUGCAACACUAUUUUAGUAGAUUGGUAUGAUCACAAUUCCCCAAACGGAGUACAAGUACAGAAAAGGGUACUUUGAGUAUAGGCUGGGAGAUACCAUUCCUGCGGGGCCAUGACCUUCAUGCACAGGGUUUAAUUUGAGCGCAUGGGCCCAUUUUGGCAAGUCAUAACAUCCUCUAUGUCAGAGAGAAAAGCAAUGCGCGUACCACGUGCAAAUGCGUAGGAUCGCCCCACAGUGAUGAUUCCUAAUUCUAAUCACUGGAUUAGCCUGUAAGUACAUGAAUGAACACUUCAGCUCUAUAGAAGUGCUUUUCAUGAACUGUCUUCAAACCACCAGCCCACUGUAUAAAUGUCAGUUUAAUAUACAUCUGUAUUUACACUUUAUUCUUCAAGUGAAAAAUCAAUUAAACUUCCGAGGUUAAAACAGUAAUGGUGAUCGUGAUUUGAAGCGUAUGGGUACUUGAUGUUCUGUUAUC
rnacentral:misc_RNA from 1 species